CUAACUGAAGUCCAACUCUAGUAUUUCGAGAAUUUACUUCCUUACAUCCUCCCCACCUUUAAAAGAGUUUCGUCCUCGAAACGAACUCAAUUCUUAAUUAAACUCGAACUUAAUUCAUACCUUACUCACGCCUCAAAAAGAUGAGGGUACUUCGCUUUCAUUCCGUCCUCAAGUUCCCACGUAGCUUCGCGAUCGUUAUGCUUGGUCCAUCGAACCUUGACGUAGGGAAUUUCGCGAUUUCGCAACUUUCGUACUUCUCGAGCAAUAAUCAACGCCGGAUAUCCUUAUAGCUCAAGUCCUCGCGUAAUUCCGGCGGUUCAUAUGAU
rnacentral:lncRNA from 1 species